rnacentral:misc_RNA from 1 species
UUUCCGUAGGUGAACCUGCGGAAGGAUCAUCAUUGAGAUGUAACGGCGCCCUGUUUAGUUGUUGCAAUGUAGAGUCAGUGCUGGCUUCUGAAGUAUGUGCACGCUUUACUUGUAGCCCUAACUUGGUGAUAACCGUUUCUUAUCCAUCCACCUGUGCACUUUUUGUAGGAGUUUUUAUUAGGUUGGCUUUCAAGUCGAAAGACUUUGUUAGUUGGCAUAAUAAGACUUCUAUGUCUUUACAAACCAUUGAAGUAUGUCUAGAAUGUCAUUUUACUGGGACUUCAUUGACCCUUUAAACUUUAUACAACUUUCAGCAACGGAUCUCUUGGCUCUC